rnacentral:rRNA from 1 species
GACGAACGCUGGCGGCGUGCCUAAUACAUGCAAGUAGAACGCUGAAGACUUUAGCUUGCUAAAGUUGGAAGAGUUGCGAACGGGUGAGUAACGCGUAGGUAACCUGCCUACUAGCGGGGGAUAACUAUUGGAAACGAUAGCUAAUACCGCAUAACAGCUUUUAACUCAUGUUAGGAGCUUGAAAGGUGCAAUUGCAUCACUAGUAUAUGGACCUGCGUUGUAGUAGCUAGUUGGUGAGGUAACGGCUCACCAAGGCGACGAUACAUAGCCGACCUGAGAGGGUGAUCGGCCACACUGGGACGGAGACACGGCCCAGACUCCUACGGGAGGCAGCAGUAGGGAAUCUUCGGCAAUGGGGGCAACCCUGACCGAGCAACGCCGCGUGAGUGAAGAAGGUUUUCGGAUCGUAAAGCUCUGUUGUAAGAGAAGAACGUGUGUGAGAGUGGAAAGUUCACACAGUGACGGUAACUUACCAGAAAGGGACGGCUAACUACGUGCCAGCAGCCGCGGUAA